GGGCAUUUCAAUGCAAGAGUAAAGUGUCCUUGCCCUUUCUGUCCGUCUGAUUGUGGCAGACAAGAUUGAAUGGGGGGAUAUGGGG
ensembl:snoRNA